rfam:Helianthus annuus linkage group 16, whole genome shotgun sequence.
AGGAGUCGUAUGAGGUGAAAAUCUCUUGUACGGUUCUGUAGAGUGGCAGUAUUCACAAGGAACGUACCAUUAACCAUGU